GUAAUUCCAGCUCCAAUAGCGUAUAUUAAAGUUGUUGCAGUUAAAAAGCUCGUAGUUGAAUUUCGGGGUCAGUAGGUCGGUCGUGCCACUGGUAUGAACUGGUUUUACUGAUUCCUCCCUCUUGAAGAACUGUAAUGCCAUUAAUUUGUUGUUGCAGGGAAUCAGGACUGUUACUUUGAAAAAAUUAGAGUGUUUAAAGCAGGCUUUAGCUUGAAUACAUUAGCAUGGAAUAAUGAAAUAGGACGUUUGAUCCUAUUUUGUUGGUUUCUAGGAUUGACGUAAUGAUUAAUAGGGAUAGUUGGGGGCAUUAGUAUUCAAUUGUCAGAGGUGAAAUUCUUGGAUUUAUUGAAGACUAACUACUGCGAAAGCAUUUGCCAAGGAUGUUUUCAUUAAUCAAGAACGAAAGUUAGGGGAUCGAAGACGAUCAGAUACCGUCGUAGUCUUAACCAUAAACUAUGCCGACUAGGGAUCGGAUGAUGUUAAUUUUUUAA
rnacentral:rRNA from 1 species